rfam:Candidatus Staskawiczbacteria bacterium RIFCSPHIGHO2_01_FTLL_34_27 rifcsphigho2_01_scaffold_1452, whole genome shotgun sequence.
UGCCUAACCCUCAUUUGCAAAAAUAAGGUAUGGCAAAAAGUCAGGUAAUGCAUAAAGAACCCAUCAUGGGGUCGCAUUACCUGCCGUACAAGGAAACUUGUAUGAGUAGCUUCGGCUACU